AAAUUGAAGAGUUUGAUCAUGGCUCAGAUUGAACGCUGGCGGCAGGCCUAACACAUGCAAGUCGAACGGUAGCACAGAGAGCUUGCUCUCGGGUGACGAGUGGCGGACGGGUGAGUAAUGUCUGGGAAACUGCCUGAUGGAGGGGGAUAACUACUGGAAACGGUAGCUAAUACCGCAUAACGUCGCAAGACCAAAGAGGGGGACCUUCGGGCCUCUUGCCAUCAGAUGUGCCCAGAUGGGAUUAGCUAGUAGGUGGGGUAACGGCUCACCUAGGCGACGAUCCCUAGCUGGUCUGAGAGGAUGACCAGCCACACUGGAACUGAGACACGGUCCAGACUCCUACGGGAGGCAGCAGUGGGGAAUAUUGCACAAUGGGCGCAAGCCUGAUGCAGCCAUGCCGCGUGUAUGAAGAAGGCCUUCGGGUUGUAAAGUACUUUCAGCGGGGAGGAAGGUGUUGUGGUUAAUAACCGCAGCAAUUGACGUUACCCGCAGAAGAAGCACCGGCUAACUCCGUGCCAGCAGCCGCGGUAAUACGGAGGGUGCAAGCGUUAAUCGGAAUUACUGGGCGUAAAGCGCACGCAGGCGGUCUGUCAAGUCGGAUGUGAAAUCCCCGGGCUCAACCUGGGAACUGCAUUCGAAACUGGCAGGCUAGAGUCUUGUAGAGGGGGGUAGAAUUCCAGGUGUAGCGGUGAAAUGCGUAGAGAUCUGGAGGAAUACCGGUGGCGAAGGCGGCCCCCUGGACAAAGACUGACGCUCAGGUGCGAAAGCGUGGGGAGCAAACAGGAUUAGAUACCCUGGUAGUCCACGCCGUAAACGAUGUCGACUUGGAGGUUGUGCCCUUGAGGCGUGGCUUCCGGAGCUAACGCGUUAAGUCGACCGCCUGGGGAGUACGGCCGCAAGGUUAAAACUCAAAUGAAUUGACGGGGGCCCGCACAAGCGGUGGAGCAUGUGGUUUAAUUCGAUGCAACGCGAAGAACCUUACCUACUCUUGACAUCCAGAGAACUUUCCAGAGAUGGAUUGGUGCCUUCGGGAACUCUGAGACAGGUGCUGCAUGGCUGUCGUCAGCUCGUGUUGUGAAAUGUUGGGUUAAGUCCCGCAACGAGCGCAACCCUUAUCCUUUGUUGCCAGCGGUCCGGCCGGGAACUCAAAGGAGACUGCCAGUGAUAAACUGGAGGAAGGUGGGGAUGACGUCAAGUCAUCAUGGCCCUUACGAGUAGGGCUACACACGUGCUACAAUGGCGCAUACAAAGAGAAGCGACCUCGCGAGAGCAAGCGGACCUCAUAAAGUGCGUCGUAGUCCGGAUUGGAGUCUGCAACUCGACUCCAUGAAGUCGGAAUCGCUAGUAAUCGUAGAUCAGAAUGCUACGGUGAAUACGUUCCCGGGCCUUGUACACACCGCCCGUCACACCAUGGGAGUGGGUUGCAAAAGAAGUAGGUAGCUUAACCUUCGGGAGGGCGCUUACCACUUUGUGAUUCAUGACUGGGGUGAAGUCGUAACAAGGUAACCGUAGGGGAACCUGCGGUUGGAUCACCUCCUUACCUUAAAGAA
rnacentral:rRNA from 1 species